GACGAACGCUGGCGGCGUGCUUAACACAUGCAAGUCGAGCGAGGCCCUUCCUUCGGGAAGGUGUCCUAGCGGCGAACGGGUGAGUAACACGUGGGCAACCUGCCCUCAGCUCUGGGAUAACUCCGGGAAACCGGGGCUAAUACCGGAUACGACCUCGUCAGGCAUCUGUCGAGGUGGAAAGUUUUUCGGCUGAGGAUGGGCCCGCGGCCUAUCAGCUUGUUGGUGGGGUGACGGCCUACCAAGGCGACGACGGGUAGCCGGCCUGAGAGGGUGACCGGCCACACUGGGACUGAGACACGGCCCAGACUCCUACGGGAGGCAGCAGUGGGGAAUAUUGCGCAAUGGGCGAAAGCCUGACGCAGCGACGCCGCGUGAGGGACGAAGGCCUUCGGGUUGUAAACCUCUUUCAGCAGGGACGAAGCGCAAGUGACGGUACCUGCAGAAGACCGCCGGCCAACUACGUGCCAGCAGCCGCGGUAAUACGUAGGGUGCAAGCGUUGUCCGGAAUUAUUGGGCGUAAAGAGCUCGUAGGCGGGUAUGUUGCGUCGACUGUGAAAACCCGGGGCUCAACCCCGGGCCUGCAGCCGAUACGGGCAGACUAGAGUUCGGCAGGGGAGACUGGAAUUCCUGGUGUAGCGGUGAAAUGCGCAGAUAUCAGGAGGAACACCGGUGGCGAAGGCGGGUCUCUGGGCCGAUACUGACGCUGAGGAGCGAAAGCGUGGGGAGCGAACAGGAUUAGAUACCCUGGUAGUCCACGCCGUAAACGUUGGGCGCUAGGUGUGGGUUCCCUUCCACGGGAUCCGUGCCGCAGCUAACGCAUUAAGCGCCCCGCCUGGGGAGUACGGCCGCAAGGCUAAAACUCAAAGGAAUUGACGG
rnacentral:rRNA from 1 species